rnacentral:rRNA from 1 species
UGACUAAUACCGCAUAAUGUAUUCAUAACGCAUGUUGAGAAUAACCAAAGGAGCAAUACCGAAACAAGAGUGGGCUCGCGUCUGAUUAGGUAGUUGGUGAGGUAACGGCUCACCAAGCCGACGAUCAGUAGCCGGACUGAGAGGUUGAACGGCCACAUUGGAACUGAGAUACGGUCCAGACUCCGUAACGGGGAGGCAGCAGGUGGGGAAUUAGUUGGGCAAUGGACGAAAGUCUGACCCAGCGACGCCGCGUGAAGGAAGAAGAUCUUCGGAUUGUAAACUUCUGUUGACAGGGAAGAAGAAAGUGACGGUACCUGUCGAGGAAGCCACGGCUAACUACGUG